ensembl:lncRNA
GCUCAGUAUCACUCUUUGAAUUUGAGCAGUUUAAAGAAGUCAAACCUAAAUCAGACAGACUGAGUCUUUCUGCAGACUGUUCUCUGGUUAUAAAGAAGGUCACAGAUCAGGAUGUUGGUCGUUACACCUGCAGACAGUACAAAAAUGCAACAGGACCACAAGAAGGUCCAGACUUUAUGAUUCAUCUGUCUGUUAUUAACAGUGAAGAUGUGACAACAACCAAAUUAGCAAAAUCAACAAUUAAACCAACAUCAAAAAUAACAAACAUGUGGACAAGAAAAGAUGAAAUAAAGACAUCAGCAGGGACACUGACAACAGCAUCAAAUAUUCCAUCUGGCGUUCUCUCAGGGUUUAUCAUCGUUUCUGUGGGUUUAGCAGCACUCUUAAUAACUGUUGUGGUGAUCAUCAGAUGGAAGAAAACCAAAGAAAAUGAAACAAAAUGUGGCAACAACACUGAACUGAGCUUAAACUCUGCAGAUGCUCAGUCUGGGACCAGUCAGGACACUGUGAGAUCACACACUACUCCCAGUACAAAGUUACACUCAGUGUUAUGUUUAGUUUCAACAGAGAAAAGUAGAAACUAGGAUGUGAUGAGGAGCUGAAUUUACUUAAACAGAUGUGAAGCAGACUCAUUAUAAAUCCACAUAUUACUGAGCAGUCAUUGUGUUGUAUUCACUGUGCAGGGUGAUGCUGAUGAUGGUGUUCCCUACGCCUCCAUCAGCUUCACCAAGAAGACCAAGAAUAAAUCCAGGUCCCGUGGUGAUCAUGAUGAUGAUGAUGAUGACACUGUGACCUACAGCACUGUGAAAGCUUCUUCCUCACCUGCUGGAGUUUCCACUGAUCCCAACAACCUCUACUCCACCAUCAACUACCCAAAGACAUAGGAUGUUUCUCAUGCUAAGUUUUUUUAACUAUAUAUAAUUUUUUUCACUUCACUGAUUAGUUUUGGUAACUCUGGGUCAAAUAUUAAGCCUGAUUCUGUUUACUUAAGAAUACAAAGACUGCAGGAUUCCUAAAUUAGAUUUUUGCUUCAUACCACUGCAUGUGCUCAUAGAUUCAGUAUAUUACUUUGAAUAAGGUGAAUAUUAUUACAUUAAAAUUCAGCUUAAGGUUUCUUAAAUUGUUUCAAGUGGGUUUUUUCGAUGAUCCAAUUUUAGAAGUAGAAUAUGAAAACAAGCAAACCAAUAACUAAAACAAGACGAAGCCAAAAGUUUUUCAUAGUAUAUGGAUAAAAAUAACAUGUCUGUUUGCACAUGC